GAAAACUUCUGGUGAAGUCAUGGCUGAAUAUAUUUCUGACACUUCCUAUUGGUAAUCCUGCAUUUUGGGGGAUCAUGAUGUUUGAGGCCCUGAUGGAGAAAGCUAGAGAAAGUCAUACAGUCAGGCAGGUUGCGGGAAAGGAAAAAGGAACUGGGAAAAUAAGAAAAAGACGGAGUAAAACUGGCAACUAAUAUAAAUUUGGCUUUUUGGUUUGACAAUCUUCCAAUCCUUAAAUGGCAUCACAUGGACCAUCUGCAACUUAAGAUCUUCGGUGGUUUGGGAUGUCAAGAU